rnacentral:rRNA from 1 species
GAUGAACGCUGGCGGCGUGCUUAACACAUGCAAGUCGAACGGCAAGGCCACAGCUUGCUGUGGUACUCGAGUGGCGAAGGGGUGAGUAACACGUGGGCGAUCUGCCCUGUACUUCGGGAUAAGCUUGGGAAACUGGGUCUAAUACCGGAUAGGAAUCACAUGUGGGUGUGUGGUUGGAAAGCUUUUGCGGUAUGGGAUGAGCUCGCGGCCUAUCAGCUUGUGGGUGGGGUAAUGGCCUACCAAGGCGUCGACGGGUAGCCGGCCUGAGAGGGUGUACGGCCACAUUGGGACUGAGAUACGGCCCAGACUCCUACGGGAGGCAGCAGUGGGGAGUAUUGCACAGUGGGCGCAAGCCGGAUGCAGCGACGCCGCGUGGGGAAUGACGGCCUUCGGGUUGUAAACUCCUUUCGGCAGGGACGAAGCGAAAGUGACGGUACCUGGAGAAGAAGCACCGGCUAACUACGUG